rnacentral:rRNA from 1 species
UACGUAGGGGGCAAGCGUUGUCCGGAUUUAUUGGGCGUAAAGAGCGUGUAGGCGGUCAGGUAGGUCCGUUGUGAAAACUCGAGGCUCAACCUCGAGACGCCGAUGGAAACCAUCUGACUAGAGUCCGGAAGAGGAGAGUGGAAUCCCUGGUGUAGCGGUGAAAUGCGCAGAUAUCAGGAAGAACACCCGUGGCUAAGGCGGCUCUCUAGUACGGUACUGACGCUGAGGAGCGAAAGCGUGGGUAGCAAACAGG